CCCAAGGCUCUUUUCAGAGCCACCUCACGUUUUCACAAUCUGAGUUG
rfam:Sus scrofa chromosome 7.